rnacentral:rRNA from 1 species
UACGAAGGGGGCUAGCGUUGUUCGGAAUUACUGGGCGUAAAGCGCGACGCAGGCGGUCCUUCAAGUCAGAGGUGAAAGCCCAGAGCUCAACUCUGGAAUGGCCUUUGAGACUAGAGGACUUGGGUACGGGAGAGGUGAGUGGAAUUCCGAGUGUAGAGGUGAAAAUUCGUAGAUAUUCGGAAGAACACCAGUGGCGAAGGCGGCUCACUGGCCCGUUACCGACGCUCAGGCGCGACAGCGUGGGGGAGCAAACAGG